UACGUAGGUGGCGAGCGUUGUCCGGAUUUACUGGGCGUAAAGGGCGUGCAGGCGGUUUGUUAAGUGCAGGGUGAAAGCUCCCGGCUCAACUGGGAGAGGUCCUUGCAUACUGGCGAACUCGAGGGAGGCAGAGGAAAGUGGAAUUCCCGGUGUAGUGGUGAUAUGCGUAGAUAUCGGGAGGAACACCUGUGGCGAAGGCGAGUCCCUGGACAACUACUGACACUGAGGCACGAAAGCUAGGGGAGCAAACAGG
rnacentral:rRNA from 1 species